ACGUACACUCCUGCGGGAGGCAGCAGUGGGGAAUUUUACGCAAUGGGGGAAACCCUGACGUAGCGACACCGCGUGAGCGAAGAAGCCCUUUGGGGUGUAAAGCUCUGUCAGCUGGAACGAAAACAAUGACGGUACCAGCAGAGGAAGCAUCGGCUAACUACGUGCCAGCAGCCGCGGUAAGACGUAGGAUGCGAGCGUUGUCCGGAUUUAUUGAGCGUAAAGAGUUCGUAGGUGGUUUGUUAAGUUUGGUGUUAAAGAUCGGGGCUCAACCCUGGGACUGCACUGAAUACUGGCAGACGCGAGUGUGGUAGAGGCUAGUGGAAUUCCCAGUGUAGCGGUGAAAUGCGUAGAUAUUGGGAAGAACACCGGUGGCGUAGGCGACUAGCUGGGCCAUAACUGACGCUGAGGAACGAAAGCCAGGGGAGCGAAUGGGAUUAGAUACCCUAGUAGUCCCAUGAU
rnacentral:rRNA from 1 species